AGGGUUGUAGUUAAUAAUAACAUUUGAGUUGCAUUCAAAAAGUACCAAAAAGGUCUACCUUA
rnacentral:tRNA from 1 species